CAUCGCGGCCCGGCCUGCAGCCUCCGCUUGACUUUUUCACACGGGUAGCUUAGGAGGAAUCCGCCGCGCAAAUCUGUCCGCCCCCUUGGCCAUUGAGCCCCCGAAGAGCUUCUGUCGCCGCUCUAGGGUAAAGGAGAGCUGCUCCUGCCCCCGCCUUUCUGAGAAUACAGACAUUGAAGUUUGGGACAAGAUAUUUAUCUAACUUCUGUGUCAAAAUUAACGACCUGCUAUGGCAAUGAAGAAAGAAACUGAAUUUGUCAUUUUCACCUAAAGAAAAAUGAUAGACAAAAAUCAAACCUGUGGUCUAGGACAGGAUUCUGUGCCCUAUAUGCUUUGUCUGAUUCACAUACUCGAAGAAUGGUUUGGUGUGGAGCAGUUGGAGGACUAUUUGAAUUUUGCAAACUAUCUCUUGUGGGUUUUUACACCACUAAUACUUUUAAUACUUCCUUACUUUACUAUCUUUCUUCUCUACCUUACCAUUAUUUUCUUACACAUUUAUAAGAGAAAGAAUGUAUUAAAAGAAGCCUACUCUCAUAAUUUAUGGGAUGGUGCAAGGAAAACGGUGGCAACUCUGUGGGAUGGACAUGCAGCCGUUUGGCAUGGUUAUGAAGUUCAUGGAAUGGAGAAAAUACCAGAAGAUGGACCAGCACUUAUAAUUUUUUAUCAUGGAGCUAUUCCUAUAGAUUUUUACUAUUUCAUGGCCAAAAUAUUUAUACACAAAGGCAGAACUUGCCGAGUAGUAGCUGAUCACUUUGUCUUUAAAAUUCCAGGCUUUAGUUUAUUACUGGAUGUGUUUUGUGCUCUACAUGGACCAAGAGAAAAAUGUGUUGAAAUUCUGAGGAGUGGCCACUUGUUAGCUAUCUCACCAGGUGGAGUUCGAGAAGCCCUAAUUAGUGAUGAAACUUACAACAUUGUAUGGGGUCAUCGCAAAGGCUUUGCUCAGGUUGCAAUUGAUGCAAAAGUGAUGAGGAGACUCAGGCACAGAGAGAUGGAGGGAUGGAAGGGAUCUGGUCACUCAGCAAGGCAGCAGCAGAGCAGAGCACACAGUUCAGAACUCGAGGCAACUGGUACUGUUGCCAUUCCUGACUACAUUGCACACCCAUUAUUCCUAUGUUUACACAAAAUAUUCGAGAAGGAUUUAGAUCACUUGGAGGAACAAGGUUAUUUAGGUGGCUUUAUGAAAAAUUCCGCUAUCCAUUUGCUCCAAUGUAUGGAGGUUUUCCAGUGAAGUUACGGACCUAUUUAGGUGACCCCAUUCCGUAUGACCCAAAGAUAACAGCGGAAGAAUUAGCUGAAAAGACGAAGAAUGCUGUUCAGGCUUUGAUUGAUAAGCAUCAAAGAAUACCAGGAAACAUUAUGAGUGCUUUGUUAGAACGUUUUCAUUGAUAAUAAAGGGUCAACUAGAAGAUGAUUUAAUACAUUUAUAUUUAUAUUAAGUGUUUGUAUCUAAGGUACUGUCUUCUGAAUUUUGUAGGUCCUAUAAUUAGUAUUUUUUUAAAAAAUCAUGUUAGUAAGCAUCUUUCACAGAAUUCAUUGGUUUAAAAUUGUAUUGUCAAAUUUGUUUUUGCUAUUGUGUCAAAUACUAACAAAUUACACACCUAAUAAUUCAGAAAAAUAUGUUUUAUUUGUAAAUUCCUAAUAAUGUAUGCUAAACAUAUAGAUUCUUAAAGUUAAGUUUAUUAAUAACAGCAGUUUAGGUUAAACAAACAUUCCUGGAUAAUGCAUUAAAUUUCUGUAUCUGUUGCCCUGAGCUGAUUUUGAUAGAUGGCGUAAGCUAGGGGUUAGUAUAGUUGUUUAAAUUAGAAAAAAAGUGCUGUUUUCUGCGCCUCAUUCCCUUCAUGACCUUGGGCAAGUCAUGUAAUGUUUUUGUGCCUCAACAAUUCACUUUUUAAAAACAUGAUCGUAUGGUGAAUGAUAUUAUUUUGUUAUUUAUAUUUGCUGUGAUUGAUAACUAUUGAACCAAAAUUAUAAUUAAUUUAAACAAUGUCAAAAUCCUUUAGGAGUUAUGUAUAUAUUUUCUCCAUUGUGUGUUUAAAUUAUGUCUUCAGAUAUCAUGUCCAGUUGCCAAGCACAGUGAAAAAGAUUAUUAUUUUUUAAAUUGAAUAAAAAAGAAAUUAGGAAAAAUAAAAUUUCUUAUUAUUUUUAGUAUGAUAUUUUUAACAAGAGUCUAUAAGCAAACAAUAUAGGGUGUGCUGUGCAUUGUCACCCCUAUACUAUGGUCUUAAUAACGCCAGUUAAAAAUCACUGUUGUGCUCUGCAUUUCGUGUGUUAGAAGCUGAUUCUAAGCUGAGGAAAGCAGAGUUCUCUACUUUUGCUCACUAUUGAGGCUUACCCAGUUUGACUCUGCGGCCAAUGAAGUGGUUUAUUGCUUCAAUAAAAAUAUACUUGAAUGAUAAAUUUAUUUAUUUUUGUUUUGUUUUGUUUUUAUUUAGAGAUGGGGUUUUGCCACAUUGGCCAGGCUGAUCUCGAACUCCUGACCUUAGGUGAUCCACCCGCCUCAGCCUCCCAAAUUGCUGGGAUUACAGGUGUGAGCCACCAUGCCCAGCCUGAAUGAUAAAUAUAUGGGAACACAGAGCCCUCUGAAAAAUUAAUGAUUUUCAAUUUGUCUUCUUGAAAAAUGAAUUUAAGUAUUAUUUAAACAGAAAAGUGUCAGAAAUCAAAUACAGUAUCUCCCUCUCCCUUUUUUAAAUGUUAAAUUACUAGGGUUUUUGUAUAGCUUUUUGUAUUGUGUGUAUUUAUGACAUGUGAAAUGUGUAUAAAAUUAAACAAUGUGAAAAUAAACCUGAGUUGCAAUUAA